rnacentral:rRNA from 1 species
UGGGGAAUAUUGCACAAUGGGCGCAAGCCUGAUGCAGCAACGCCGCGUGAACGAUGAAGGUCUUCGGAUCGUAAAGUUCUGUUGCAGGGGAAGAUAAUGACGGUACCCUGUGAGGAAGCCCCGGCUAACUACGUGCCAGCAGCCGCGGUAAUACGUAGGGGGCUAGCGUUAUUCGGAUUUACUGGGCGUAAAGGGUGCGUAGGUGGUCUUUCAAGUCGGUGGUUAAAGGCUACGGCUCAACCGUAGUUAGCCUCCGAAACUGGAAGACUUGAGUGCAGGAGAGGAAAGUGGAAUUCCCAGUGUAGCGGUGAAAUGCGUAGAUAUUGGGGAGAACACCAGUAGCGAAGGCGGCUUUCUGGACUGCAACUGAAACUGAGGCACGAAAGCGUGGGUAGCAAACAGG